rfam:Gordonia polyisoprenivorans VH2, complete genome.
CGCGCCGGUCACAUUUGUCGGGUAUAGAGUUCUCGCCAGAUGCUGACGGAAACCCGGUGUGAGUCCGGGACGGUCGCGCCACUGUGAGCCGGGCCGGGGAGUCACCCCGCCCGACGAGUCAGGAUUCCGCCGAGCAUCGAUCCGACAAG